UUUGGUGAAGUUUUCGGAUGGAUCUGAUUUAACUUAGUGGCGGACGGGUGAGUAAUGCGUGAGCAACCUGCCCUUCAGAGGGGGAUAACGUUCUGAAAAGAACGCUAAUACCGCAUAACAUCAAAUUAUCGCAUGAUAGGUUGAUCAAAGGAGCAAUCCGCUGGAAGAUGGACUCGCGUCCGAUUAGCCAGUUGGCGGGGUAACGGCCCACCUAGUCUUCGAUGGAUAGGGGUUCUGAGAGGAAGGUCCCCCACAUUGGAACUGAGACACGGUCCAAACUCC
rnacentral:rRNA from 1 species